ACUCUACUUUGGUGCCGCAAAGAUAUUGUACAACGCCGAGACAACCGACGGUUCUCUCGCUGAUCGCCGACGUCCUCGCUCCGGGGCGCGUGGGCGGAGUGAACGAUCCCGCCGUCGCGACAAAAUCUUUACUCGACAGUUGUUGGAACAGCUUGAUCAGCCAUGCCAGGGUGACAGAGGGGGCAGCCCUCCGCAUCAGGGAUCCUGAGGUGGCAGAGGCCGACCCUGGUGUAGAUCUUUUCCAUGUCUGUGUCUGCUGGGAACCGCACGCGUCACGUGUGGAAAAAUAGACAAAGCGACGCCGUAACUGUCACACGCACGGG